rnacentral:rRNA from 1 species
CUCAGGACGAAUGCUGGCGGCGUGCGUAAUACAUGCAUGUCGUACGCUUCUUUUUCCACCGGAGCUUGCUCCACCGGAAAAAGARGAGUGGCGAACGGGUGAGUAACACGUGGGUAACCUGCCCAUCAGAAGGGGAUAACACUUGGAAACAGGUGCUAAUACCGUAUAACAAUCGAAACCGCAUGGUUUUGAUUUGAAAGGCGCUUUCGGGUGUCGCUGAUGGAUGGACCCGCGGUGCAUUAGCUAGUUGGUGAGGUAACGGCUCACCAAGGCCACGAUGCAUAGCCGACCUGAGAGGGUGAUCGGCCACAUUGGGACUGAGACACGGCCCAAACUCCUACGGGAGGCAGCAGUAGGGAAUCUUCGGCAAUGGACGAAAGUCUGACCGAGCAACGCCGCGUGAGUGAAGAAGGUUUUCGGAUCGUAAAACUCUGUUGUUAGAGAAGAACAAGGAUGAGAGUAACUGUUCAUCCCUUGACGGUAUCUAACCAGAAAGCCACGGCUAACUACGUGCCAGCAGCCGCGGUAAUACGUAGGUGGCAAGCGUUGUCCGGAUUUAUUGGGCGUAAAGCGAGCGCAGGCGGUUUCUUAAGUCUGAUGUGAAAGCCCCCGGCUCAACCGGGGAGGGUCAUUGGAAACUGGGAGACUUGAGUGCAGAAGAGGAGAGUGGAAUUCCAUGUGUAGCGGUGAAAUGCGUAGAUAUAUGGAGGAACACCAGUGGCGAAGGCGGCUCUCUGGUCUGUAACUGACGCUGAGGCUCGAAAGCGUGGGGAGCAAACAGGAUUAG